rnacentral:lncRNA from 1 species
ACACAAGAUGUAUCGUGGUUCACCCCAAGGUUUGGGCUACGUCCACACUGAUUAUAUUUAUCUGAGAGUAUUUGUGAGGGAGAGAGUGUGAGAGCUUUGCUCUAGAUAUGAGAGACUUAAGGUUUGUGAGGGUGAUGAGACCCUUUUAUAGAAUAAGGGCUCCUCCCCUAAUUACAUAUUUGCCCAUUUCUUUAUUACAUAAUUAUAUUUAAGUCCUCCGAAUAUUUAUACGAGAUCUAAAUACGAUGCCCUAAAUAUGGUAUAAACAUCGUGCAUAUCCAAUGUCGAGAGCUUCUUCAUUUCUUGAAGAGAACAACACAAGUUCCUUCCAUCUUUUUUAAAAUCGGUCGACCCCAGUUUCCUAAGACCUUUCAACUCUCAUAAUGCUGUUAUGAUUUUUCUAUUGUUUUUCACACUAAUUAAUGACAUCUCUUGUAUGGAGGAUAAAGAUGAAAUGCUGCUAUUAUUAUUGACAACUUCUGUUGUUUUUCUAUUGAUUUUUUUACUGUUAUUAUGAUUAUGAUUAUUAUUAUUAUUUUUAAAACACACUACCAGAAGUUUGGGGUUGCCCUACGAAAUCUUACCCCGACAAAAAAAAUCCGGCACCUAAAUCUGUUUUACCCAAACAAAUUGUUCGGUUAAUAUAGUCCACAUAUUUUGUUUACUCAAAAUCUUUGGGACACAUAUCACAUGAUGAGGGGUAAGCUGAGCAUAUACCAUUAUUAUGGUGGUGAGAAAAAAAUGCUCCCUAAAACCAGUAUUCCACAACCAAUAUACUAAAUUCAAGUUAAAUGUGAAUAAUUUGACUAUUAUAUUAAAAUGAAAAUUGCAUUGCAGAGUUAUUGUAAAAUGGAAACUACAAUGCAACGUAAAGCUAAUAAAUAAAAUAAAACCCAUUAAUUAGUCAAAAUCAAAAUAAUUGACUCUUUAUAUAUUCCUAACCACUAAAAAUACUAUUGAUUUUAACCUAAAUUCUGUUUUUUUAAGUCCUCACGGGUCAGCUUUACAAAGGGUAAACUUGUUUUAUAUAAUUUUAUUAAAGAAAAACUAAUGAAAAAGAUUUGAAAAUUUUGAGUUUUAACCCAAGGGACAAAAAUAUGUUGUAAGUAAAUAGUACCAGGAUCGACUUUUUAGAGUAAAAAUGUUUUUUUCGUUAAAAGUGAACAGUACCGAAAGUGUUUUGUUAAAACUCUCCUUUAUUAAAAGGUGAACAAAAUAAUUAGAUAUAGGGAUGGGAAUAAAAAUUAUUUUUAAUUUCUUUUUUCUUUGUCUAUCUCUUUAACCUUUAACAUUGUAUUUUUAAUGGCGACUUAGUGCUUUCUAAAAUCUUUAUGGGUGUGUUUGUUUGGGCUCACUAAGUUUCAUUGGACUGGACUGGAUUACUUAUUAGUGUAGUCCAGUGUUUGUUUCACACGAGGAUUAAGUUUAAUGGGAUUAGCCGGUAUUCUCUCUGACUAACCCCUUCGCUAAAAGUUCUUAGCGAGAACCCCCAAUUCUCACGGGAUUGCUAAGCCCGUCUUCGAGAGCGUUGCUCGCUCCUCAUUCUCGAUCGUCCUUCUUGCCGGUCGUCCUCCUUGCUCGUCCUACAACCUCGUCCGGCUUGUCCUCAUCUGGUAAAUUCCAAAUAUGACGACCUAUUUCUAUAAUUUUGUUUUGUAGAUUGUGAAAUUAUUAUUGGGUUCUGAUCGAUUUUUUUGUUUUGGGUUCAAAAUCUACAAAAUUAUUAAUGGGUUCUGAUUGAUUCCUCGUAUAAUCAUUUUAUUUAUGCUUAGAUAUACCUUCUUAUAAAUUGAAGAAAUCAAAAUCAGUUAUGAUUUCAAUGUUCGAUUGUGACGACCCGUCCCUAAUUUUACGUUUUUAUUAAUAUUAAAAGCAUGAAUUUACGAAAAUGCCCUAGAGGUAAGGACUUUGACUUCCGUUAAUCAUCGCUUAGAGAAAUGUAUGACUUAUUCUUUUAGUGUACCCUCGUAGUGCUCAUCGCUACGAACGCAUGAGCGCAUGUUAGACUCGAAUCAGAUCUGUAACGAAAAAGUUACACUCCGUUAAAGUACUUUGAAUACGACUAUUUUUUUACACUCACAUACAAAUUUACAGUAUCAUAACACUGUCAAGAGGACAUAUUUUGUACAUUAAAAAAUUAUUAUACAAAAUCUGAUAUGCAAUCCUCCCCUUGACUUUGUUGAUCCGUGUUCCCGACAUUUCACAUAUUCAACCAAUCAAAACCCUUAAAACCUUCUCAUUCUCUCAUUUUCCCGGAUUUCCUCACCACCAAUCACUUUUGUUCCCUCAAUUUGGCAUCCAAUCCGUGACCUUUACACUCAUACUAGUCACUAAUAAAAAAUAAAUAAAUAAAUUAGUUUUCUAUCUCUCUCCCCCGAAGGUCUCUCUUUCACUCUCUUUUCUCUGCAACAAGGAAGACCAACCCCCAAAUCUUCACCGUUCAAGCUUAAAAACCUUACCAUUGUGUUCACCUUACCUCCAUGAACACAACCAUACCAACCAAACUAAGAAUGGACAAGUUUUGACUCGCCAACUUGGAAGGUCCAAACUUGGACGAGUUGAGUUCGACGCGUUUU